UACGAAGGGUGCAAGCGUUACUCGGAAUUACUGGGCGUAAAGCGUGCGUAGGUGGUUCGUUAAGUCUGAUGUGAAAGCCCUGGGCUCAACCUGGGAAUGGCAUUGGAAACUGGCGACCUAGAGUGCGGUAGAGGAGAGUGGAAUUCCUGGUGUAGCGGUGAAAUGCGCAGAUAUCAGGAAGAACACCCGUGGCUAAGGCGGCUCUCUAGUACGGUACUGACGCUGAGACGCGAAAGCGUGGGGAGCGAACAGG
rnacentral:rRNA from 1 species